UUACACUAGUACAACUAUUUGGACUGAACCAUUACAUGAGUAACUGACCAUUUAGGUUUUAAGGUUUCGGGCACUUGAAUUAGUGAUGCUGUGAUUAGUUUUCUUGGUUGAUUCCUUUUAGGCCACAGACUACUGAUUCCGUAUUCAGUAUGACUGGAUAACUUGGUAUCUUCUCCUAGUUCUCUUUCUCACUUUUUAUAUAUCAUUUGUCAGUCUUCUCUUUCAAUGCAGAUUGUGUAUUUGUGUGGUAUCAGAUCAAUUUCAGAGGAAAUGGGAAAUCAACUGUGGUGCUGCCAUUUUGGUGAUAAAUGGAUGGUAAUAUGGAAAUAGAUUGAUGACUAGACCGUAUUUGAUGUCUUGAAUUAAAAACUAAGACUCCUUUGCCUGACAUAUUCUACAUAGUCAUAUACAUUUUCAGUUAUGUAUUUAAAUCACGUAAGAAAUUAACAAGUCUUGUCCUAAAUUAAAAUUGUAAUCCAAAUUUUGAAAUCCUUGAAUCUAGCCUCUCAAGGGUGAAUUGUCCCCCGUUGGGAAAUGCCCCCCUCAAGCUUUUCAAGUGAUUAGAUUAGCAAGAUCUUUAUAAUCAUGAAUAUCAUACACAUUGUAGAGGAAACGCACCCCUAUUAUCUUUGUGUUUGAGGAAGGAUAAAUUUUGGUGGGAGUCUAUGCUUCAAAUAAUGCUAUUAAAUUUUGUGGGAGUAACCAUAUCAAUGGUACCAUGGUACCACGGCUUGGCAUUGGAAUUUGCACAGGGUUGACGUUCGUGAGCAAGUAAUUGAUACAAAUGUGAUCAUGACACUCGGUAAAAUAGAUUGUCAAUUCUUCAAUUAACUCCUGGUUAUAAUCAACAAUGAUUAAUGUGAAUUAGCUGAAUGCUGUUUUUGGAAACUUUUCUAGCCCCACUGAUAUUAGUAUAUUUGCCAAGUGUAUCCCUUACCCGAAUUUGGAGUAGUUUGCUGCCAAGGCACUGAUUAAUUGAUAAAAUGAAGUCUUCAUAGUGGUUAAAUUCACUGAAACCUUUUUUUCCCCCCUUUCCCAAUGUUGCUAGUGUUUUUCUCCGAGGAUGUUGCUAGUUAAGCAGAUAAUGCUUACUGUAUCGUG
rnacentral:misc_RNA from 1 species